UAUUAAGCUAUGAGUAGAAGUAGUAACAAUUUGUAUAUCUUUAGAGAGUUAUUGGUUGGUGUAAAAUAACGUUAUAUUAUUGUGAACUUGUCUAUGAGCUUAUCUGUUUAGAAGCAGAUACGGGAUAACCCGUUACAGUAUUCAAGUGAGAAGAUUUAUUUAUUAAAUCUUCUAAUAAGAGUGGUACCACGGAAUAACGCUUUCGUCUCUUGA
rnacentral:ncRNA from 1 species